UGGGGAAUAUUGCACAAUGGAGGGAACUCUGAUGCAGCGACGCCGCGUGAACGAAGAAGGCUUUCGAGUCGUAAAGUUCUUUUAUAUGGGAAGAUAAUGACGGUACCAUAAGAAAAAGCCCCGGCUAACUACGUGCCAGCAGCCGCGGUAAUACGUAGGGGGCUAGCGUUGUCCGGAAUCACUGGGCGUAAAGGGUUCGCGGGCGGAAAUGCAAGUCAGGUGUAAAAGGCAGUAGCUUAACUACUGUAAGCAUUUGAAACUGCAUAUCUUGAGAAGAGUAGAGGUAAGUAGAAUUUUUAGUGUAGCGGUGAAAUGCGUAGAUAUUAAAAAGAAUACCGGUGGCGAAGGCGACUUACUGGGCUCAUUCUGACGCUGAGGAACGAAAGCGUGGGUAGCAAACAGG
rnacentral:rRNA from 1 species